rnacentral:rRNA from 1 species
GCAGGCUUAAUACAUGCAAGUCGUGGGGCAGCGCAGUGUAGCAAUACAUGGGCGGCGACCGGCAAACGGGUGCGGAACACGUACACAACCUUCCUACAAGUGGGGAAUAGCCCAGAGAAAUUUGGAUUAAUACCCCGUAACAUAUAAAGAUGGCAUCAUUUUUAUAUUAUAGCUACGGCGCUUGUUGAUGGGUGUGCGGCUGAUUAGGUAGUUGGCGGGGUAAUGGCCCACCAAGCCUGCGAUCAGUAGCUGAUGUGAGAGCAUGAUCAGCCACACGGGCACUGAGACACGGGCCCGACUCCUACGGGAGGCAGCAGUAAGGAAUAUUGGACAAUGGGCGCAAGCCUGAUCCAGCCAUGCCGUGUGAAGGAUUAAGGUCCUCUGGAUUGUAAACUUCUUUUAUAAGGGACGAAAAAAGGGAAUUCUUUCUCACUUGACGGUACCUUAUGAAUAAGCACCGGCUAACUCCGUGCCAGCAGCCGCGGUAAUACGGAGGGUGCAAGCGUUAUCCGGAUUCACUGGGUUUAAAGGGUGCGUAGGCGGGUAUUUAAGUCAGUGGUGAAAUCCUAGAGCUUAACUCUAGAACUGCCAUUGAUACUAUUUAUCUUGAAUAUUGUGGAGGUAAGCGGAAUAUGUCAUGUAGCGGUGAAAUGCUUAGAUAUGACAUAGAACACCUAUUGCGAAGGCAGCUUACUACGCAUAUAUUGACGCUGAGGCACGAAAGCGUGGGGAUCAAACAGGAUUAGAUACCCUGGGUAGUCCACGCCCUAAACGGAUGGAUACUCGACAUACGCGAAUACACUGUGGUGUGUCUGAGCGAAAGCAUUAAGUAUCCCACCUGGGNAAGUACGACCGCAAGGUUGA